UUCAUUUGGGUAACUUUUCUCUGGUAACUCCUCUGGCUCAUUAUUAUCAUUUCUCCUAGUGUUAUUGGUCUCCGUACAAUGGUUCUGCUGUUAUUCUCACCAUCAUGAUCUUGGCUUUUUAUUUCCAGUUCUAGUGUUGUUGGUCUCCUUACAAUGGUUCUGCUGUUAUUCUUACCAUCAUGAUCUUGGCUUUUUAUUUUGGGUAGGGUAUGAGAAGUUGCAUAAUCAGAGUAGGUAGAAUUUUGGAGGAAGCCAGAAUUGGGUGGAAAUAGUGGAAAGGGACAGUCCAAUAGAGAAGCUCCUACAAGGUGCGAUACUCCAGUUGCAUAGCUACUUAUACUGCUGUCUGUUUCAGAAGCCAGUAAGUAAGUGCUUCCUUGCUGAACCCAGAUAUUAUAAAGUCACUCCGCAGGGACUGCAUGUGGAAAUUGCAGCUGAUGGUAGCAGGCAAUUGGCUAGAAGGGAGGAAGAAGAACUGAAUGAAUCAUCCAUUUCGAAACCAGAUGCUUCAAGCUCCAAGCCUAAAAUUCCUUGUUUAUGGUUACUAUCAAUUCCAACGUAAAUGCUGCUGUUAGAAAUAUAAUUUUCUUUUCUUUGUUAUCAUCAACAUACGAAGAAGGCAAGCUUUCGUACUCACAAGAGGUGGAGUUGAUAAUUCGAGUGAUGAUAGAGGCAGCUAUUCGGGCUUUUCUUCCCAAAAGUAUUCGAGGUUGGAUGUGGCAGUACUGGAGUGACUAAAGACAUGCCCGGGUACCAGGCUUUUCUUCCCAAAGAAAAGGAACUGAAGGCGGUUGCUGUAUAUUUUCGGCAUUGUCACUCCCUGCCAUUUCUCAGGUACAAGCUAUGGUAACUUGAUGCUUUGAACUCGCACUAUUUUGCACCUCUGGGUUGCCCGCACCUGAAUUUUGUAGUUGGUUUGUUAAGCCUUCUGCUACGGACCCUAACAAUAAGAUAGUUGAUUCAGUUUUAUUUUAAACCAGUUUAUAUUUGUUAUAUAAUUUCUACCUAUUUUUAGUGCCUUAUAAACUUCUCAUUAGAAAAAAGACAGUAUAAAUUCAUAUAUUUUAUUAAUUAAACAAUACAUACACAAUUAAUUCUGCA
rnacentral:lncRNA from 1 species